rnacentral:rRNA from 1 species
CACCUGCCCAAAGCAGAACGACCCGUGAAUCGUCAAGACAUUUCGUUCAUCGGGAGAGCUUGCGUGCAGGAGACUGUCGCAUUGCCUCUCAUCGCGUGUUGUCCCCGUUCCCCUUAUGCGACCCUUCGGGCGUUGGGGUGGUGCGCGGGGCAAUUGCGUGCUUCAACCGAACAACGACCACCGGCGCAGUUUGCGCCAAGGAUUACUAGCGGAAUGGGCGAGCUCUCGUGGACAGAGCUCCUCACGGAGUGAUGUUGCGUGACCUCGUCGUGUCUCCGAUCAUUUGUACGACUCUCGGCAACGGAUAUCUCGGCUCUCGCAUCGAURAARAACGUAKCGAAAUGCGAUACUUGGKGUGAAUUGCASAAUCCCGUGAACCAUCGAGUCUUUGAACGCAAGUUGCGCCCGAGGCCGUCAGGUCGAGGGCACGCCUGCCUGGGCGUCACGCCUUACGUCGCUCUCAAACAAUUGUCCYCCUCGGGGAUGUCGAGUUGAGAUGCGGAGAUUGGCCACCCGCGCUCUGUUCGCGCGGCUGGCUCAAGAGCGGCCUUGCCGGUGCAGGGCGCGAUUAGUUGUGGAUGAUAGAAGCUACAUUUCGGUGAUCGCGUCCUGCGACCGUCUUUGGACCUUACCUGAUGUCG